rnacentral:rRNA from 1 species
CCUACGGGAGGCUGCAGUGGGGAAUAUUGCACAAUGGGCGCAAGCCUGAUGCAGCCAUGCCGCGUGUGUGAAGAAGGCCUUCGGGUUGUAAAGCACUUUCAGCGGGGAGGAAGGCGGUGAGGUUAAUAACCUCAUCGAUUGACGUUACCCGCUGAAGAAGCACCGGCUAACUCCGUGCCAGCAGCCGCGGUAAUACGGAGGGUGCAAGCGUUAAUCGGAAUUACUGGGCGUAAAGCGCACGCAGGCGGUCUGUCAAGUCGGAUGUGAAAUCCCCGGGCUCAACCUGGGAACUGCAUUCGAAACUGGCAGGCUAGAGUCUUGUAGAGGGGGUAGAAUUCCAGGUGUAGCGGUGAAAUGCGUAGAGAUCUGGAGGAAUACCGGUGGCGAAGGCGGCCCCCUGGACAAAGACUGACGCUCAGGUGCGAAAGCGUGGGGAGCAAACAGGAUUAGAUACCCGGGUAGUC